ACUACACUCUAAGAAUAUAUCUGUGUUUCACGGUUGAUUCCCUCUUUCUGGACCAUGCAAGGCAAGGCAGCAGGACCCGUCCUUAUACCCUUAUUGGACAGAGGAGCAGUCGUUUUACGAGUUUUUGCAACCAUCUUUAAGAAUGGAAAAGAAAGUUCAAGGAAGAUAUAUUUUGUACAUUUACUGUUAAACUGUUUGUAAUCUUGUUUUAAUGUAUUGUCACAAAAAAAGAAUGUUAUUUAAACAUUUGUAAUAUUAUACAGUAAAAUAAAA